UACGUAGGGUGCAAGCGUUGUCCGGAAUUAUUGGGCGUAAAGAGCUCGUAGGCGGUCUGUCGCGUCGGAUGUGAAAACUCGGGGCUCAACCCCGAGCCUGCAUUCGAUACGGGUAGACUAGAGUUCGGUAGGGGAGACUGGAAUUCCUGGUGUAGCGGUGAAAUGCGCAGAUAUCAGGAGGAACACCGGCGGCGAAGGCGGCAUCCUGGACCGACACUGACGCUGAGGCGCGAAAGCUAGGGUAGCAAACGGG
rnacentral:rRNA from 1 species